GACAGAGGGUGCAAACGUUGUCCGGAAUUAUUGGGCGUAAAGAGCUCGUAGGCGGCCUGUUGCGUCCGCUGUGAAAUCCCAGGGCUCAACCCUGGGCGUGCAGUGGAUACGGGCAGGCUGGAGGCAGGCAGGGGGAGAACGGAAGUUCCCGGUGGUAGCGGUGAAAUGCGCAGAGUAUCGGGAGGAACACCGGUGGCGAA
rnacentral:rRNA from 1 species